UACGGAGGGGGCUAGCGUUGUUCGGAAUUACUGGGCGUAAAGCGCGCGUAGGCGGCUUGCCAAGUCGGACGUGAAAUCCCUCAGCUCAACUGAGGACGUGCAUCCGAAACUGGCGAGCUUGAGUACUGAAGAGGAUCGCGGAAUUCCCGGUGUAGAGGUGAAAUUCGUAGAUAUUCGGAAGAACACCAGUGGCGAAGGCGACUGGCUGGACAUGUAUUGACGCUGAGGUGCGAAAGCGUGGGGAGCAAACAGG
rnacentral:rRNA from 1 species